GAAAAAUGCAGCUCUAUACCUUGCAGUUCUGCAACGGCAAAGCUGUUUCGAUCAACUAACUGAUGGCUUGUCCUACUAUGGAAUUUUAUCACUCCUGAGAGAGAACCCCAGUUUGCGUGUUCUGCUUGACCUAUCGGGGGAGGACAAAGAUCUGACAGCCAGUUUAAUUGCUGGGGUUCUCAGGCCAAGCUAUUCUGUCCUUGGGAGCAACAGAAGAGUUAGAGAGGAGCUGAUGGUGGUCAAAUUUCGGGAAUUUCUCCAGUGUGUCGAAAAUGAAGAGCUGAGAGACUCACUUGGAGAAAGGACUCUUACCAAGGAUGAAGAGGCAUUUGUGAAGGCUUUGAGGCCUGGUCACAUCUUGGCUUUUGCCACCGGGAGCAGCAAGGUUCCAGCCAUAGGUUUUCAACCAGCUCCUAAAAUAACAUUCAUUCACGAUGAAAGCAAACAUCUCCCGAUUGCACACACAUGUGCAAAUGAGCUUCAGCUUUUUGUGAAUGAAACAACAAUGGCUGAUGAUGAUGCUUUUCAUUACUGCUUCUUAGUAGCACUCAUGAAUGGAGCUUUAUUCAGCACCAU